GACGAACGCUGGCGGCGUGCUUAACACAUGCAAGUCGAACGGUAAGGCCCUUCGGGGUACACGAGUAACGAACGGGUGAGUAACACGUGGGUGAUAUGCCCUGCACUUCGGGAUAAGCCUAGGAAACUGGGUCUAAUACCGGAUAGGACCACUGCCUGCAUGGGUGGUGGUGGAGAGCUUUUGCGGUGUGGGAUGGGCCCGCGGCCUAUCAGCUUGUUGGUGGGGUGAUGGCCUACCAAGGCGAGGACGGGUAGCCGGCCUGAGAGGGUGACCGGCCACACUGGGACUGAGAUACGGCCCAGACUCCUACGGGAGGCAGCAGUGGGGAAUAUUGCACAAUGGGCGCAAGCCUGAUGCAGCGACGCCGCGUGAGGGAUGGCGGCCUUCGGGUUGUAAACCUCUUUCAGCACCGACGAAGCGCAAGUGACGGUAGGUGCAGAAGAAGGACCGGCCAACUACGUGCCAGCCGCCGCCGUAA
rnacentral:rRNA from 1 species